GAGAGUUAAACAGUACGUGAAAUUGUUGAAAGGGAAACGAUUGAAGCCAGUCAUACCUUCGGGUAAUCAGCCUUUCGGGUGCGAUUCUGUGGGGUGUGAAGAGUUAAACGCCUUCACGUUUUGCAUAUUCGUGCUCUUGGGUGUACUUGCCCGUGUGGUUGGUUAACAUCAAUUUUGGACGCCAUAAAAUGGCUGGAGGAAUGUAGCUUCGAUCUCGUAUUGAAGUGUUAUAGCCUUCGGUAGAUGUGGUUUUCGAGAUUGAGGAUUGCAACGGAUACCCUUCGGGGCUACCUAUCUGAUCUCUGAUCGUUGCUCUGGUGCCGAAAGCUUGCUUACGGUUAUCAAAGUCGAUGGUCAAUAUGUUAGAAUGGGUUAAAUUCGUUAAGGAUGUUGACGUAAUGGCUUUAAACGA
rnacentral:rRNA from 1 species